CCUACGGGAGGCAGCAGUGGGGAAUAUUGCACAAUGGGGGAAACCCUGAUGCAGCGACGCCGCGUGAGUGAAGAAGUAUUUCGGUAUGUAAAGCUCUAUCAGCAGGGAAGAAAAUGACGGUACCUGAUUAAGAAGCCCCGGCUAACUACGUGCCAGCAGCCGCGGUAUUACGUAGGGGGCAAGCGUUAUCCGGAUUUAAUGGGUGAAAAGGGAGCGUAGACGGCAGCACAAGUCUGGAGUGAAAUGCCGGGGCUUAACCCCGGAACUGCUUUGGAAACUGUGCAGCUAGAGUGCAGGAGAGGUAAGUGGAAUUCCUAGUGUAGCGGUGAAAUGCGUAGAUAUUAGGAGGAACACCAGUGGCGAAGGCGGCUUACUGGACUGUAACUGACGUUGAGGCUCGAAAGCGUGGGGAGCAAACAGGAUUAGAUACCCCUGUAGUC
rnacentral:rRNA from 1 species